rnacentral:piRNA from 1 species
GGGGAAUAUACUGUAUGAAUGUGU